AACCCCCAGCUAUGCUGGGGGUUCAGUAAAGCUUUCAGCUUUGGGUCAGUUAUAAAAACCCCUUUUGAUUUGUUGAACAUUUGCAGUUGCCAGACCGCAAAAC
rnacentral:sRNA from 1 species